rnacentral:rRNA from 1 species
UACGUAGGCAGCGAGCGUUGUUCGGAGUUACUGGGCGUAAAGAGUGCGUAGGCGGUUUUCUAAGUUUGGUGUGAAAUCUCCCGGCUUAACUGGGAGGGUGCGCCGAAGACUGGAAGGCUAGAGUAUGGGAGAGGUAAGCGGAAUUCCUGGUGUAGCGGUGAAAUGCGCAGAUAUCAGGAGGAACACCGAUGGCGAAGGCAGGUCUCUGGGCCACUACUGACGCUGAGAAGCGAAAGCAUGGGGAGCGAACAGG